UGGGGAAUUUUGGACAAUGGGGGAAACCCUGAUCCAGCCAUCCCGCGUGUGCGAUGAAGGCCUUCGGGUUGUAAAGCACUUUUGGCAGGAAAGAAACGUCGCGGGUUAAUACCCCGCGAAACUGACGGUACCUGCAGAAUAAGCACCGGCUAACUACGUGCCGGCAGCCGCGGUAAUACGUAGGGUGCAAGCGUUAAUCGGAAUUACUGGGCGUAAAGCGUGCGCAGGCGGUUCGGAAAGAAAGAUGUGAAAUCCCAGAGCUUAACUUUGGAACUGCAUUUUUAACUACCGGGCUAGAGUGUGUCAGAGGGAGGUGGAAUUCCGCGUGUAGCAGUGAAAUGCGUAGAUAUGCGGAGGAACACCGAUGGCGAAGGCAGCCUCCUGGGAUAACACUGACGCUCAUGCACGAAAGCGUGGGGAGCAAACAGGAUUAGAUACCCUGGUAGUCCACGCCCUAAACGAUGCCAACUAGCUGUUGGGGGCCUUCGGGGCCUUGGUAGCGCAGCUAACGCGUGAAGUUGACCGCCCUGGGGGAGUACGGUCGCAAGAUUAAAACUCAAAU
rnacentral:rRNA from 1 species